rnacentral:lncRNA from 1 species
CUUUAAGAUUAAAGGAGAAAAGUUCGAAUCUUUACCUUAUUCGCGGAUAAAUCUUCACCUCAAUUUGAUGAUCGUGGAAUUCGGUUCUCUUGAAGCCGCACACGCGUCCGGCCUCUAUAGGUAUCCACACGAGGUUCUUGAUUUGAUCGAUGUCCUCACCGGGGUGCUAGCUCCCUUGCAAAAGGACGUCUUUCUUGCUAGAAGAUGGAAGAGAGAAGAGAGGAUAGAUGACGGCUAGGGUUUUCUAAAAACUCCCAUAUAUUAUAUAUAGGAAUAUAAUCCUAUUCCUAAUAAUAUAAUGACAAUUAAGGAUAAGUAUAAAUCUAGAUUUAAAUUUAUCCUUUCCUUAAUUAGUUAGAUCGAUCAAAUCCAAAUUUGAUUCGACUUGAAUUUUAUAUUAAUUUGAUCUUAUCAAAUUAAUAAUGCAACAAUUGCACAUAAGUCCUCUUAUAAUUUACUAACUAUUAGUAAGUCCUCUCCUAUAACAUUUACACUUUAAUACCACUAAUUUGUAACAAUUACAAAUUAGUCCAAUUAUCAACAUAUUGACAAUUAGUUCCUCCGGCGAUUCAAUAAUCGCGAUCUAGCUAUCCGAUCAAUCACAACCUCUUAUGUGUGUGACCCCGUAGGUUCUAAUCUAUCUGGUAGUGAGAUAUAUUUUGAUCACUAUCAACAAUAUCACUGAAACUCCUUUCAAUGGAUCAGAACAAUUCCAACUCAGCCCAAUGAGAAUUAUUGAUCAUCUAGAUAAUUCUCAUGAGUCUCACAAUCCACCAGUGACGCCUAGCAGCAUAUCGUGGCAUUCUAGUAGAAUGGAAUACUGAACCUCUUGGUGCAGUUACCGUGUGAUACAAUCCUUCUAUCAUGAGUCCCGACUAGAUGGAGGUUAUGGAAUAACUCGUCAAAACCCCAUCGUCUGUCAUAUGUUAAAUUUAUUCGACUCGAGUUUCUAAUAUCGGAAAUCCUUUUCCGCUUUUUAUUCUGCCCUGGCCAAGGUCUUCUAAGCUCGGUCUCAUAAAUCACAUAGGACUAACACCCCUAUCUACCAAGGGAGAUAGAUUCCAUCUGAGUGCGCACCCUAUUCUUACAAUGAACCUACUGCAGUCAACAUACACUGCAAGGACCCGAAU